GACGAACGCUGGCGGCGUGCCUAAUACAUGCAAGUAGGACGCACAGUCUAUACCGUAGCUUGCUACACCAUAGACUGUGAGUUGCGAACGGGUGAGUAACGCGUAGGUAACCUGCCUAUUAGAGGGGGAUAACUAUUGGAAACGAUAGCUAAUACCGCAUAACAGUAUGUAACACAUGUUAGAUGCUUGAAAGAUGCAAUUGCAUCGCUAGUAGAUGGACCUGCGUUGUAUUAGCUAGUAGGUAGGGUAAUGGCCUACCUAGGCGACGAUACAUAGCCGACCUGAGAGGGUGAUCGGCCACACUGGGACUGAGACACGGCCCAGACUCCUACGGGAGGCAGCAGUAGGGAAUCUUCGGCAAUGGGGGGAACCCUGACCGAGCAACGCCGCGUGAGUGAAGAAGGUUUUCGGAUCGUAAAGCUCUGUUGUUAAGGAAGAACGAGUGUGAGAAUGGAAAGUUCAUACUGUGACGGUACUUAACCAGAAAGGGACGGCUAACUACGUGCCAGCAGCCGCGGUAAUACGUAGGUCCCGAGCGUUGUCCGGAUUUAUUGGGCGUAAAGCGAGCGCAGGCGGUUAGAAAAGUCUGAAGUGAAAGGCAGUAGCUCAACCAUUGUAGGCUUUGGAAACUGUUUAACUUGAGUGCAGAAGGGGAGAGUGGAAUUCCAUGUGUAGCGGUGAAAUGCGUAGAUAUAUGGAGGAACACCGGUGGCGAAAGCGGCUCUCUGGUCUGUAACUGACGCUGAGGCUCGAAAGCGUGGGGAGCGAACAGG
rnacentral:rRNA from 1 species